UGGCCACGCAGUGUGAUUGAUAGAAAAGAGUUUUUAUAAGGAUCACAAUUAGACUUGAGCUGAUCAAAUUUAUCAUAUGACUGAUGAUGAGGUUUGAUGAUUUAUCCAUGACCUGCCAUCUAGUCGAGACUCACAAUGGAGGGACUGAAUCACACGUUAACUACACCUUGAGAUUCAUUUUUGGUUCUACUAGGUUGUCACUAUAUACUGCUGGGUGCCACUAAUAGAUUGUGAGAGCUCACUAGGAUUGCUCAGGAUCGACAGUCUUUGACAAGUUGGAGUGAAAUUAUUUCGAUCCACUGAAAAGAGUUUCAAU
rnacentral:lncRNA from 1 species